AAAAGUUGGUUCGGGUUUUU
rnacentral:miRNA from 1 species